rnacentral:rRNA from 1 species
AAAGACUUUAGCUCAUGCAGUCGGACGGCAGCACGGGCUUCGGCCUGGUGGCGAGUGGCGAACGGGUGAGUAAUGUAUCGGAACGUGCCCAGUAGCGGGGGAUAACUAYRCGAAAGCGUGGCUAAUACCGCAUACGCCCUACGGGGGAAAGCGGGGGACCUUCGGGCCUCGCACUAUUGGAGCGGCCGAUAUCGGAUUAGCUAGUUGGUGGGGUAACGGCCUACCAAGGCGACGAUCCGUAGCUGGUUUGAGAGGACGACCAGCCACACUGGGACUGAGACACGGCCCAGACUCCUACGGGAGGCAGCAGUGGGGAAUUUUGGACAAUGGGGGCAACCCUGAUCCAGCCAUCCCGCGUGUGCGAUGAAGGCCUUCGGGUUGUAAAGCACUUUUGGCAGGAAAGAAACGGCACGGGCUAAUAUCCUGUGCAACUGACGGUACCUGCAGAAUAAGCACCGGCUAACUACGUGCCAGCAGCCGCGGUAAUACGUAGGGUGCAAGCGUUAAUCGGAAUUACUGGGCGUAAAGCGUGCGCAGGCGGUUCGGAAAGAAAGAUGUGAAAUCCCAGGCUUAACCUUGGAACUGCAUUUUUACUACCGGGCUAGAGUGUGUCAGAGGGAGUGGAAUUCCGCGUGUAGCAGUGAAAUGCGUAGAUAUGCGGAGGAACACCGAUGGCGAAGGCAGCCUCUGGGAUAACACUGACGCUCAUGCACGAAAGCGUGGGGAGCAACAGGAUUAGAUACCCUGGUUAGUCCACGCCCUUAACGAUGUCACUAGCUGUUGGGGCCUUCGGGCCUUGGUUAGCGCAGCUAACGCGUG